UAGUCCACGCUGUAAACGAUGAUCACUCGUUGUUUGCGAUAUAUUGUAAGCGACUGAGCGAAAGCAUUAAGUGAUCCACCUGGGGAGUACGUCGGCAACGAUGAAACCCAAGGAAUUGACGGGGGCCCGCACAAGCGGAGGAACAUGUGGUUUAAUUCGAUGAUACGCGAGGAACCUUACCUGGGUUUAAAUGUAGGUUGCAUGAGUGGGAAACUGCUCCUUCCUUCGGGACUACUUACAAGGUGCUGCAUGGUUGUCGUCAGCUCGUGCCGUGAGGUGUCGGGUUAAGUCCCAUAACGAGCGCAACCCCUAUUGUUAGUUGCCAUCAGGUAAAGCUGGGGACUCUAACAAGACUGCCGGUGUAAACCGUGAGGAAGGUGGGGAUGACGUCAAAUCAGCACGGGCCCUUAUAUCCAGGGGCUACACACGUGUUACAAUGGGCCAGUACAAAGAGCAGCCACUUGGUGACAAGGCGCUAAUCUCUAAAGCUGGGUCACAGUUCGGG
rnacentral:rRNA from 1 species